rnacentral:rRNA from 1 species
CCCUUAGAUGUUCUGGGCCGCACGCGCGCUACACUGAUGCAUUCAACAAGCCUAGCCUUGACCGAGAGGUCCGGGUAAUCUUUGAAACUGCAUCGUGAUGGGGCUAGAUUAUUUCAAUUAUUAAUCUUCAACGAGGAAUGCCUAGUAAGCGUGAUUCAUCAAAUCGCGUUGAUUACGUCCCUGCCCUUUGUACACACCGCCCGUCGCUCCUACCGAUUGAAUGUGUUGGUGAGGAGCUCGGAUUGGCAGCAGUUGGUGGUUCGCCACCGGCUAUUGCUGAGAAGUCCUCCAAACCGCCCCAUUUAGAGGAAGGAGAAGUCGUAACA